rnacentral:rRNA from 1 species
GAUGAACGCUGGCGGCGUGCCUAAUACAUGCAAGUCGAGCGAACAGACGAGGAGCUUGCUCCUCUGACGUUAGCGGCGGACGGGUGAGUAACACGUGGAUAACCUACCUAUAAGACUGGGAUAACUUCGGGAAACCGGAGCUAAUACCGGAUAAUAUAUUGAACCGCAUGGUUCAAUAGUGAAAGACGGUUUUGCUGUCACUUAUAGAUCGAUCCGCGCCGCAUUAGCUAGUUGGUAAGGUAACGGCUUACCAAGGCAACGAUGCGUAGCCGACCUGAGAGGGUGAUCGGCCACACUGGAACUGAGACACGGUCCAGACUCCUACGGGAGGCAGCAGUAGGGAAUCUUCCGCAAUGGGCGAAAGCCUGACGGAGCAACGCCGCGUGAGUGAUGAAGGUCUUCGGAUCGUAAAACUCUGUUAUUAGGGAAGAACAAAUGUGUAAGUAACUAUGCACGUCUUGACGGUACCUAAUCAGAAAGCCACGGCUAACUACGUG